UACGUAGGUGGCUAGCGUUGUCCGGAUUUACUGGGCGUAAAGAGCGCGCAGGCGGUCGUUUCAAGUCGAGUGUGAAAGCCCCCGGCUCAACUGGGGAGGGUCACUCGAUACUGAUCGACUCGAAGGCAGGAGAGGGAAGCGGAAUUCCCGGUGUAGUGGUGAAAUGCGUAGAUAUCGGGAGGAACACCAGUGGCGAAGGCGGCUUUCUGGCCUGUUCUUGACGCUGAGGCGCGAAAGCUAGGGUAGCAAACGGGG
rnacentral:rRNA from 1 species